UAAUACAUGCAACCCCACCCUACUUGAGGAGGGUUGUUAUUUAUUAAAUAAAAAACCUUCUCCCUUCGGCUAUGUGCCGGUGAUUAAUAAUAACUUUUCAAAGUGCAUGGCCUUGCGCCGGCCCUCGUUCUUUCAAGUUUCCCCCCUACCAUCUUUCGAGGGAAGGAUAGACGCCUACCUUGGUGGUAACGGGUAAGGAAGAAUUGGGUUUCGAUUCGGGAGAGGGACCCAAAAAGACGCCUCCCCCAUCCAGGGAGGGCGGCGGGCGCGCAAUUUACCCAAUCCGGACCGGGGGGGGUAGUGAAAAAAAAUACCAAUACAGGGCAUUACGUGUCUUGUAAUUGGAAUGAUAACAAUUUAAAUCCCCUAUCGAUGGAUCCAUGGGAGG
rnacentral:rRNA from 1 species